rnacentral:lncRNA from 1 species
UCAGAUUUACCCAUAAUUUUAAAGUGUGUUCAAAUUUACCCCUCUACCGUUAGAUGUCGUUAUAAAAAUGCCUUUCUAUGUCAUUACCAUCCGGUCAAAGGGCUCUGACCAUCUACAGGGUGUUUGUUGGACAAUUUUGCCCCUAGGAAAAAAUAAAACAAAGCCCGCUUACCUUUUGGACCAAGUGCAAUGUGCCUUUGACCCAAAUGCACAGCGCCCGGCCCAAUCAACCUUCUCGAGUCAUCGUCUUCCUCAACUCAUC